ACUCCUACGGGAGGCAGCAGUGGGAAUAUUGGACAAUGGGGGCAACCCUGAUCCAGCAAUGCCGCGUGUGUGAAGAAGGCCUGCGGGUUGUAAAGCACUUUCAGUAGAGAAGAAAAGCCCUAGGGUUAAUACCCCUGAGUCUUGACGUUACCUACAGAAGAAGCUCCGGCUAACUCCGUGCCAGCAGCCGCGGUAAUACGGAGGGAGCGAGCGUUAAUCGGAAUUACUGGGCGUAAAGCGCACGUAGGCGGCUUUGUAAGUCGGAUGUGAAAGCCCCGGGCUUAACCUGGGAAUGGCAUUCGAUACUGCAGAGCUAGAGUAUGGUAGAGGGAAGUGGAAUUUCCGGUGUAGCGGUGAAAUGCGUAGAUAUCGGAAGGAACACCGGUGGCGAAGGCGACUUCCUGGGCCAAUACUGACGCUGAGGUGCGAAAGCGUGGGUAGCAAACAGGAUUAGAUACCCUGGUAGGCUCUG
rnacentral:rRNA from 1 species